CAGAAUACAUGAUGAUCCACCCCAACUUGAACUCUCUCACUGAUAACUUGAUGAUAAUGGGAUCUGAUAUUCUG
rnacentral:snoRNA from 15 species